ensembl:lncRNA
AUGCAUGGCCCCAGUGGCGGCUUACCUCAGACUCAACGGUGUUCACGUAUUCCCAUACAUCGACGAUUGGUUGGUCGUCUCUCCAUCCAGACGCAGGGCUCUGAAAGACACAAAAUUUACCCUUCGUCUACUCAAGGGCCUGGGCCUCACCGUAAAUUACAAAAAAUCGCAGCUUCGCCCAACCAAGGUGAUACAUUACAUUGGUGCCAAGAUAGAUGCGCGCAAGGGACGUAUCUUCCUUCCACGCUAAUUCAUUCUAAAGAUCCGCACCGCGAUCCAGAAGUUCCACCCUGGUCACUCAGUGUCAGCCAGACAUGCUCAGCAUCUUCUCGGACUUAUGUCGUCAACGACAUCUGCAGUCGCACACGCCCGGCUGAAACUCAGAUCCCUACAGAUCUGGCUACUGUCCCUCUUCGACCCCCUUCGGGAUCACCCAGAGAAGAGACUUCUAGUGUCUCAGGAGCUAACACAGCAGCUCCAGUGGUGGGCCUUUUCGCCACAUCUGCUAGUGGGCCGUCCGUUCCUCCCUCUACGUCUCACGGCCCAGGUCACCACAGAUGCGAGCCCCACUGGCUGGGGAGCUCAUUGCGGAUCCCAUCGUGUCCACGCUCAAUGGUCCCCUCAGGAGAGGUCCCUUCACAUCAAUCACCUCGAGAUAUUGGCGGUGAUAAAAGCAUUGAAAGCCUUCCUCCCCCUAGUACAUGGUCGUGGUGUUCAAAUAGUCACAGACAACACCACGGCCAUGUACUACAUAAACAAGCAAGGGGGUACACAUUCCCAGUCCCUGCUCUUUCUCACAAUAACUCUCUGGGAAUGGUGCUAUCAGAAUCACAUAUACCUGGUAGCUGUUCAUCUAGCCACGGAGGACAACUUUCUAGCAGAUCAACUCAGCCGCCGUCUGGAUCAGAUGCACGAGUGGGAGUUGGAUGCAUCUGUAUUCCAUCAACUCUGCCUACGUUGGGGCAACCCUGUUGUAGAUCUCUUUGCCACUCAACGGAACAAGAAGUGCCCACGAUAUGCAUCCAGAGCGGGCGUGGGUCAGCACUCACUGGGAGAUGCUUUCAUGCUGUCUUGGACAAACGGCCUGCUUUAUGCUUUUCCUCCUUUCCCUCUAAUACAGAAGACAUUGAUACAACUCCGACUUCAGUCGGCGGAGGCCAUACUGGUGACUCCUUUCUGGCCCAGACAACCGUGGUUUCCAACUCUGGUGGAAAUGGCAGUAGAUUCAAUACGACUUCCCAACUUUCCAGCACUCAUCACACAAGACGCGGGAACAAUUUGCCAUCCCGACCUCCACACUCUCCGUCUUACAGCGUGGAGGAUAUCCCUGAAAUCAAAGAGAUAUUAGAUAACUCAAAGAAACACUCCACUACUACGCUAUACUCCUAUAAGUGGAAGAGCUUCCUCAAGUUUACCGCAUCCAAGGGUCUACCGCCCAUCCCGGCCUCACUCUCCACAACUCUCCAGUUCCUUCGCUACUUGUUUGACCUAAAGUUGUCUGUUGCCACUUUGCGGGUUUAUCUUGCAGCGGUUGUUUCCUUUCAACCCAGAGACUCACCUGCUUCGCGCCUUUUUUCUCACCCUACUGUUAAGGCGUUUCUUAAAGGACUUACACACCUCAGACCACCUCUUAAGCCAUUAGUACCUCAGUGGUCCUUGAACUUGGUUCUCAACGCACUCAUGUGCCCUCCCUUUGAACCUUUGGCCACAUGUUCACUGAAGCUGUUAUCUUUGAAGGUUCUAUUUCUCGUGGCGAUUACCUCUGCUCGACGCGCUAGUGAAUUAGCCGCGUUAAGGGCUGAUCAACCGUUCCUACAGUUCUUUAGUGAUAAAGUUAUUCUACACACGGACGUGUCUUUUCUACCCAAGGUUGUAUCUGAGUUCCACUUGAAUCAACCCUUAGUUCUUCCAACCUUCUUUUCACAACCUUCUAAUGAGACAGAGCGCAUGCUCCACUCCCUGGAUGUUAAGAGAGCGCUUUCUUUUUAUGUUGCACGUUCCAAAGACUUCAGACUCUCUCCUAAGCUCUUCUUAUGUUAUUUUGGUCAUAAGAAAGGACUUCCGGCUUCACCUGCAUCGAUAUCUCGAUGGCUGGUCAAUACAAUUUCGUUAGCCUAUGAGCUACAACAUAAACUUCCCCCGGAAGGACUGCGUGCCCACUCCACACGGGCGGUGGCAUCCUCUACAGCUCUUCUACGUGGAGUUGACCUUCCAGAUAUAUGCAGAACUGCUACUUGGUCAACUGUUUCCACCUUCAUCUCCCACUAUAGACUGGACAUGAGGGCCAAGAGGGAGACGAGAUUUGGAAGAGCGGUCCUGGCAUCUGCCCUUCAGUGA